rnacentral:rRNA from 1 species
GGGGAAUAUUGCGCAAUGGGGGGAACCCUGACGCAGCCAUGCCGCGUGAAUGAAGAAGGCCUUAGGGUUGUAAAGUUCUUUCGGUAUUGAGGAAGGUUGAUGUGUUAAUAGCACAUCAAAUUGACGUUAAAUACAGAAGAAGCACCGGCUAACUCCGUGCCAGCAGCCGCGGUAAUACGGAGGGUGCGAGCGUUAAUCAGAAUAACUGGGCGUAAAGGGCACGCAGGCGGUUAUUUAAGUGAGGUGUGAAAGCCCUGGGCUUAACCUAGGAAUUGCAUUUCAGACUGGGUAACUAGAGUACUUUAGGGAGGGGUAGAAUUCCACGUGUAGCGGUGAAAUGCGUAGAGAUGUGGAGGAAUACCGAAGGCGAAGGCAGCCCCUUGGGAAUGUACUGACGCUCAUGUGCGAAAGCGUGGGGAGCAAACAGGAUUAGAUACCCUGGUAGUCCACGCUGUAAACGCUGUCGAUUUGGGGGUUGGGGUUUAACUCUGGCGCCCGUAGCUAACGUGAUAAAUCGACCGCCUGGGGAGUACGGCCGCAAGGUUA